CAGCCGCCGCGGGAAUACGGAGGGGGCUAGCGUUGUUCGGAAUUACUGGGCGUAAAGCGCACGUAGGCGGCUUGGUAAGUUAGAGGUGAAAGCCUGGAGCUCAACUCCAGAAUUGCCUUUAAGACUGCCGAGCUAGCAGGUGAGAGAGGUAAGUGGAAUUCCGAGUGUAGAGGUGAAAUUCGUAGGUAUUCGGAAGAACACCAGUGGCGAAGGCGGCUUACUGGCUCAUUCUAGACGCUGAGGUGCGAAAGCGUGGGGAGCAAACAGGAUUAGAUACCCCGGUAGUCCCUGUCUCUUAUAU
rnacentral:rRNA from 1 species